rnacentral:sRNA from 1 species
AAAAAGUCUUUAAUUGUUACUGAAUUAAAUUAUUAUGUUAUUGUGUAUGAUUUUCUACACUUUUAUUCACAAAAUAAAAUCAUGACAAAUAUCAUCAAAACAGAAAUAUUGUUUGAAAGUCCAAAAGCUCUUUUCAUUGCUCUAGGAGAACUACCAAAUUACCAAAGUACCAAUUCCCAUUUGCUCGCCUUUUUUUCUCCAGAUCACUACAUUCAAAGUUAAGAAAAUUCCAAAGCAAUAAUAAACUUUUUGAUACUCUUAUUAUCAAUUAGAGCGUCUAAUGAUAUUGAUCAUAUAAAAUCAAUAUUAUUUAUAUAACAUAUUUUCUAAAUUAUCCAAUUAAGCUAUGUAGUAAAAACAUUUCCUCCAACUUUAUCAUUUAGUAUACAAAAAUUGUUGGCAAAAUCAAAAUAUAAACGAAAGAAUGAGCAAAAUAUGUGCAACUAAUGGAAGAACAAAAAAGACUUAUCAAUCCAUUAAUGACCUGAAUAAUUCUAUUUUUCAACUCAUUUCUUGGAUAUGACUCAAAUUUGUCUUGUUAAGAUUUUUAUAAAUCUUUAUAAUAAUACUAUAGUGAUGUUACUUAAGAUAAUUGAUGCAAAGCUAUAAAUGUUUUUUAAAUAAUACUAUAAUGGUGUUACUUAAGACGAAGAAUGCCACAACAAUAAAGGACAUAAAGUGGUGAUUGGUGAAAGUGACCAUCAUGAUUGUUCUAGCAAUAAAGCCUUGAAUGGCUGCAGUUUUUGGCAUAGUUUUUGGAUUUUGAUUUUGCAAAAACCAAAUAUUACCCAAUCAUGAUUCUACAAAAAGUAGAUUUCUUAACAAUUAGGAAAACAAGAUUUUAAGAUAUUUUGCAUAUUUGUUCACAGAAUCUAAAAACCCAAA